rnacentral:lncRNA from 1 species
AUUUAUAUCCUGAAGCCCUAUUCUGAAAAUAUGAGCCUGACCUGUUUGUUUGUAAAAUGGAGGUAUAGAUCUUCUCCUUGGACCUUGGCAUUUCUUGGGCUCCAGUCACAGCUCACUGAGACUGAGAAAGGAGUUCCAAAAUGUUGAAAUUUGGCUUUCCUGGACACUUUCCUAAUCAAGGUAUUUCAAAGAGCUUUUCAGUAAUAAGCUAGAUGCUGGUGCUACAGAGUCUGAAUAAACACACACAAAGACUUUUAAUUGAGCA